UAAUUAAUAUAUUAAAAUAUUGCUCUAUUUGACAUCAAAACGUCCGUUAAAACACAAGAAAUCAAAAUUUUUAUUUAUGAAUGAGAUUACAAAGUCUAUUUGCAUAAUAGAUCAAAGUUUUCUUUUAAAUAUUUUUUAUGAUUUGAAAACGAAUAACCUUUCUAGUAAAGUAAUUUUCAUAGGACAAAGAGCUCGUGAGCAGAACAUACCGGAAGUUGCGUUCCUUCAAACCAAAACAUUAAAAAAAAAAACAAAUAAGCCUAACCUUUCACUCAGAUGUUUGUUUAUUUAUUUAUUUACGUUAGGUUUACCCACUUUUUUCUCUCUUACCUUCUUGAUAUUUUUUUACAAUACCAACUCAUGUAACUGAGUAUCUGUUUGUGGUCCGAGACUAAGGAAAGCUUCUCUUCAUUAAAAAAUUGGAAAAAAAAAAUAGUAAAAAUGGAUUGAAAUAAGAAAAAAGGCACGGCCAGUUUUGAAUCGGUCUGUCAAGUUUGCACCCGGACAAUAAACUUAUAAUUACAAACCUUUUCUUCCUAAUUAUAGAGAGGCGGCAAGAAUAGCUCUGUGUCUCCCUCCAGCGGCAGCUAUUAGGGAUUUAAUCAAUUGUGGAGCACAACUGCAGCGCUAAUAACGGGACUAAAAUAUCGGGAUUAAAAUAUCAGCCCUGUGUAACAGACUAGAGGUCUGGCAGUGUUUCUCCAACAGUUUGCUUCAGUUCAGGGGCUCGGUGCAGCUUUGCGGUGGAGGAAACAGCAUCGAGCUGUUGCGAGUGAGAGACUUGUGGUCGUGGUUUGAAACGCUGUAGCAAUGCGCGGUCGCUUUACUUGCCUUUGUUUAUAUUUGACAAAAACAACACGAAAGGGGGGGAAAACAUAAACUUCCUUCCUUCCUGCUCUUGCUGCUUCGCCACCACGACUUGCAAGUCUGGCCGCAGAGAAAUAGUUGCAAAGGUAGAUGCUUUGCUUCCUGUUUCCUCCGAAAAAAAGCCAGACCUGCACCACUUGUAUCUGAUCUCUCCGACUCUGACACGGUGCCAUGUUCUGCUCCCUGUCCACUUGUGAAAAGUCGCACGAGAAAUGGCAUCACCGAGGGUUUUGCUGGAGUGGUGCCGCGUCACAUGCGCCACUUAUCCCGACGUGGAAAUAACAAACAUGUCAACCUCAUUCACAGAUGGACUGGCGUUCUGUGCUAUCAUCCACAAACACCGCCCCGACCUCAUAGACUUCAGAUCCCUCUCCAAAGAUAAUGGUUAUGAAAAUAACAAGCUGGCGUUUGAGAUUGCAGAAACAAAGCUGGGUAUCCCUGCCUUCCUGCAUCCGAAGGAUAUGGUUUCCACCAAGGCGCCCGAUCGUUUAAGCGUCAUCUCCUACCUUGCUCAGUACUACUGCUUCUUCAAUGGGAAAUCUUCGGCAGGUCCGGCCAAAUUGUGGUCAUCGCACGGCACUUCCUCACACAGCCUCUCGAAGAGCAAAACUUACAAUCAUCCAAAGCGCAUGAAGAGCUUGACUGAUAGCAAAACCAGUCGAGAGGAAAAUGUUUCUGAUGCGAGGCCGCAGACUGUGUGCAGUUUGUGUUUGAAGCCCGUGCACCUGAUACAGAGGCAUUUGAUAGAUGGAAACGUUUACCACCGCAGCUGUUUCAGGUGCAAAGUGUGCCACGCAACUCUUUUACCACAGUCUUACACACAGGGAAGUGACGCUGGCUCCUUGAUCUGCACUUACCAUGCGACAAACAGUAAAGGUACUCAUGUCGACGUCAGCGGGCAAACUGGAUCUCAAAGUAAACUUCAGACAGUUUGUUAUUCUCUGGGUGGACAGCCGAUCACCAGCGUCCCUAAUUACACAAAGAAAAUAGAGUCACAGGGCACACCGGGUUGCAAGACAGCAGAAACAGGCGGGACAGAAAGGAAGGAGGAGAACAGAGAAAAUCCCCGUGUAGAAGUGAUAGAUGGAAGGACUCGUCCUGUUCCAGCACCAAGGCGGAUUUCUGCAGGCCCUGUUCCUGCAGCCAGGAUCAGAAGUUCGCAGACUGUAAAUAGCUCCCCUGCUGCAGGUAGUUUAUCCAGUCAAAGCAAAUGUGCAGCCAGUCCGCCUCAAGUCACCAGCUCAGUCAGCGCUAGAUCUAAAAUGAAAAGCAGCCAUCCAUGGAUGCCCCUCGUGCAUCCGGGACCCUGGACACAGCUGCCUCCAGCUCCAGCUCCACUUCCCACUUUUCGAUCUAAAUCUGCUUCUAACUUAGAGGGGUCGUCCAACAGAUCCAAAGUUCCUGCUUCAAAUCCUUUUGAAGAUGAGGAGGAGGACAACUCUCAAAGAGAGGCUGCUAAAACUGAGUCUGAAGACCAAAAUAAGCCUUUAUUGGGAGCUACCCAAUCAGAGGGCCGCACCUUGGCAUCGCAGGAGGCUGAAGAAAAAACAGCUCUCCCACAGAACAGCCCGGAUCUCAGAGAGGGUGGUGAAGUUGCAGAACUUGACCCAGUAAAAGAAGUGACUGGAGAUACUAACACAGAGAGAACUUGUGGUGAAGGAGGUGGAGAUGGUGGUAAGAUUGCUCCGUCAGAUGUGACAGAAGCAGCACGUCCGUGUCCCAUUCCUGCUUCAAGACAGAGUCGCAUUUUACCCAGAAGUCUCUCUGUGCCAGCCAUUGCGUCUGAUCGCUCUGACCCUCGUUCUGCACCUGUCGGUCAAACAGAGACAGAUGAAGCUGCCACAUCGUGGCAAAGUAAGCCUUCCUGUGAAAAAGAUCCUAAGGCUCAAAGACCCACAUUAUCCAAAUCAAAUACCAUUCAGGACCUCUCACCUUGUCGGGGCCCCGCACCUGGCCAUGGAUUCCCACUCAUCAAGAGAAAGGUGCAGACAGAUCAGUGCACUUCCCCAGAAGAGCUGCAGGUGCAGAUGAGAGAAGUGGAUCAACAUCUGGAGACACUGGAGGGAAAAGGAGUGGAACUGGAGAGGAACCUGAGAGGCUGCAAAAAUGAUAAACAGGAGGAACAAAUGCUAAUGCAGUGGUUCUCUCUUAUCCACGAGCGGCAUGUUCUGAUGUGCCACGACACGGAGCUGGUUCAUCUGACAAAGCAGAAAAACCUGGAGGACAGGCAGACCGACGUGGAGUACGAACUCCGGUGUCUCUUUAAUAAACCUGAGAGGACAAAGACUGAUGCUCUAAGAAGACGACCACAGACGAGAUUCAUAGAUGUAGUGAAGGAAGACAUGCAGAGUGUUGAUGAGGCAGAUGAGACACUGUGGUGACUGCAGCUGGAAAGAAGAAUAGUUGAUGAUCCUAAAAGAAGGAAAGAAGACCCAGUUAAACAAAUGUGGCAUAGUAAUAGACUUGGUCAUUUUCUUUUUGUGGAAAGUGAUCCAAUUUUGGGCACUGUGAGGGAGCAGAGUCUGAGAUUUCACUAACCUUUGUUCCUUUGUGACCUCCCGCACUACAACACGCCCACUGCUGUGGAGGGUAACAAUGCUCCAGCAUUUCCUCCAUUUGAAAACUCACUACUGUAAGUCUAGACUGGUGGAAGUCCAAACAGUUUAGAGAUGGUUUUGUGAACUUUUCAAGCCUGAUGAGAAACAGAAACACCAACUCACAUUUGAUUGUCAAGUCUGUCACUGAAAACACUUGUUUCUAAUCACAUAUUUGAAUUACCAGUUAAUCUUAGAGGGUCACAUACUUUUGCCAUUCUCAGACUGGUAAGUAAUACUGGAUCCUGGCAUGCUUUUUGAGGCUAAAUGGUGCAACAAGAACAAGAAACACUACAAGAAGGCUCUGAGUUGGCUCUUAAAAGGCACUGAGAUGAAUUAAUAUGUUUCUAUAAGAAUAUUGUUGCUAUCCUAUCAGUGGAAUCCAAUGAAGAUCGCUGAUUUAUUAAAUGAAAUCUUAUUGUGUUGAACUUUCAUUGUCAUCAUCUGCACACACAGACAAGAACUGGAGUCAGGAGGAUCGAGAUAAAGAGAAGAAGCUGAUGGAUGAGCUGGUCACCAUCAUUGAACAGAGGAACCACAUCAUCAGCAGCCUGGAUCAGGACAGACAGAGGGAGAGAGAAAAUAACGUGCUUUGGGAAGAUA